AGAUACCCCUGUAGUCCUAGGCGUAAAUGAUGCGAGUUAAGUNUGGGGGCAUCUACGAGAUGGCCCUGUGCUGUAGGGUAGCCGUUAAACUCGCUGCCUGGGGAGUACGAUCGCAAGGCUGAAACUUAAAGGAAUCGGCGGGGGAGCACCACAAGAGGUGGAGGCUGCGGUUCAAUUGGACUCAACGCCGGAAAACUCAUCGGGAGCGACAGCAGUAUGAUUGCCAGGUUGAUGACCUUGCUUGACAAGCUG
rnacentral:rRNA from 1 species